CGGGUGAGUAAUGUCUGGGAAACUGCCCGAUGGAGGGGGAUAACUACUGGAAACGGUAGCUAAUACCGCAUAACGUCGCAAGACCAAAGAGGAGGACCUUAGGGCCUCUUGCCAUCGGAUGUGCCCAGAUGGGAUUAGCUAGUAGGUGGGGUAAUGGCUCACCUAGGCGACGAUCCCUAGCUGGUCUGAGAGGAUGACCAGCCACACUGGAACUGAGACACGGUCCAG
rnacentral:rRNA from 1 species